UGGAGGACUGAGAAGGUGGAGCAGUUCCAUACCAUGCUGCUUUCCAUUGGUUAAGGCCUCCAACAGUAAAGGGCUGAGCAGGCAAAGGAUGUUCUCUCCACUGCCUUGGAGGGGCAGUACUGAGCUGGCCAGCCCACA